GCGGCAUCAUUUCCCCUAGCACACUAGAACCAACCACCGAGAUAGCCAAUGAUUACAGUGCGCAAAACAUUCUCUGCAUAACCGGUGAAGGUAUAAAAGGCGAACUUUUCCAGUUCUUGUCAGACUUGCUCGUCUAUGAUCUCAGUGAAGUCUGCGCGCACAUUGCUGCCUACGCGUGAAACCUCAGGGAAAACCAAUAAGAAGCGCAUGAUGAUGAUGUCACCACGUAUCGGUCUCGUGGUGCUGUUGUUGGUGGUGGUCUUGGCAACAACAUUGCAAGCAGCUCCAGUGAAAGUGGACAGGUCCAAUGUUGAUCUCAGCCUCAGCAGACUCAGGCAUG